UACGGAGGAUCCGAGCGUUAUCCGGAUUUAUUGGGUUUAAAGGGUGCGUAGGCGGGUUGGUAAGUCCGUGGUGAAAUCUCCGAGCUUAACUCGGAAACUGCCGUGGAUACUAUCAAUCUUGAAUAUCGUGGAGGUAAGCGGAAUAUGUCAUGUAGCGGUGAAAUGCUUAGAUAUGACAUAGAACACCAAUUGCGUAGGCAGCUUACUACACGAUCAUUGACGCUGAGGCACGAAAGCGUGGGGAGCAAACAGG
rnacentral:rRNA from 1 species